AGGUCCUUGGCCCAGUUGGUUAAGGCGUCGAAUAAAAAAUAGCAACUUUGCAACGCGAAAGAUCAGCAGUUUCGAUCCUGCUAGGGACAA
rnacentral:tRNA from 1 species